UUCAUUAUAUAUAUAUAUCGACUUUCACUAUAUAUAUAUCAACUUUCAUUAUAUAUAUAUCAAGUUUCAUUAUAUAUAUAUAUCAACUUUCAUUAUAUAUAUAUCAAGUUUCAUUAUAUAUAUAUCGACUUUCAUUAUAUAUAUAUAUCAACUUUCAUUAUAUAUAUAUCAAAUCUUUUUUUCCUACCGAGCCCCGGAAGGGACAUGUCCGUAUGGCGAAGCGACAACGAAGGACACUCACCCGGACGAGAAUUUUAUUGAGUUUUAUUUUAAAAUCGGCCUGAAACACACAGACAUUCAAGCAGUGCGAUGCGCUAAGAGUCUGCCAUGCAGACCAGCGAUCCUGAUAAUGGUAAGUUUUAUUUCUCCAACAUCCUGCUGUUAUCCUACUAUGAAUACGCUAGCUACAACAGUCCCACAUCAGUAUUAUGAACGUUCCGCCAGCUAACGCGGUCCGGACACCGGAUCAGUGAUUAGAGGUUGGCGUUCAACUAUUGUUUGCCAGCCAGUUAGCCGCUGGUAAGCUAACAAGCUAUGAAACAACUCCUUAUAAAACCGGAGGAAAGCAGCAGCAAUAUUUCAGUCCAAGACCUGUAUUCAGAACCUCCCACGCUGUUACACAAUGACCCAUUAAUCAUAUUACUGAACUAUAUGGUUAUCAUUGAAAUUUCCCUUGAAGAACCAGUGAACUCUUUGCGAACACAUUUUAAUUUAUGUGUUGAUUAUGUUUCGUAUCAGUAAUACAAGUCUAAAAAACUGAUUGAAAUGAUCAAGUUAACACAAUGAAGUAAAGAGUACUGGUAAUCUGCAGCUAUUUUCAUAAUUUCAAGGUGAAAUUCUGAUGUGUGAUUUUCUAGCUUUGCAGAUGUGGAAAUCCAAUGCACUGAUUUCUUAUACACAGAUGCUUUUGGUGUUUUUUGUUGUAAAAUAAAACAAGGCAUUUAUCACUGUUGGAAAUUAUUACAGGUAUUAUUUGUAACACUUUCUAACAUUGUAUGGACAAAGCAAUAAAUCAGUUAAUGGAUAAAAUCAUUUGUAUUACAGAUGCUAUCAACAGCAUGUCUUGUUCAUUUUAUUUAGUUGUCGGCCUUGGAUGAUGAGGUCCAGUUACCAGGAGCACUAGUCUGCAGCUUACUGGUUCCGUCCUGCAGCUCCUCCACGCCGUCCUCCUCUCUACAGACCAAAUCAAGAAAAGGGAACCAGGAAGCUGCUGUGGAUCCUCUGCAGUAUCUGGAGAGGUCAGAGGAACGGUUCUUGGAACAGAUCGGAAGACACCAAGACGUGACCUCUGCCAUGCUCCAGAACAUCCAGAAGAUGAAUGAAAACCUUGGUUGCACUGAUGGGACGCAUGGUGUCGGUGCUGGAGCAACUGUCCCAGAAUUAAACUGCAUUGUUGACUAUUGGCUUUUCUAGAAAAUAAAUCUUUUUUAGUACUUCACCUGUUUUGUAUUUUACUCAUGCACUUUGGAUGAAUGAACAGAAAUUUGUGAUGAGAGAUGCAAAUUUUGUCUAUAAUCUACAGAGACUUUAUUCAGUGUUCAGUGCACACUUUUGUUACACACAUUUUGACAGAUAAGCAGUUGUGCUUUUCAAGCAGAUUUUAGUCAGAAACAUCAGUAGCAUACGUUGUUGUUUUUUUACUGUUACACCAAUCUAGGUAGAUAAACUGCACUACUGCAGCAGACAUAUUAUUGAAAUGUGCUUCUAUUAUGUGUCUACAUACACUGCUCACAAAUAGUUAUUCAACUUUUGGGUGAAAUUGAUGGAAAAUAUAAAAAGUGCAUGCUGUAGUGAUAUAUCAUAAAAGUAGGGUAUUUAACUAGAAACAUGCAAUAGUGAUUUCCUCAUCUCAAAAAAAAUUAUUGAAUCAAAAGCUAACAACAGUGGAGGGUAUGUCACAAUAAAAAUGUCUCAGUUUGGACAGAACAGCA